UAGCAUAUUAGGGUUUUCUAGAGGGACAGAACUAAUAGGAUAGAUACGGAGGGAGUUUAUUAAGGAGUAUCAACUUACACCAUCACAAGGUGUCCCACAAUAGGCUGUCUGCAAGCUGAGGAGCAAGGAAGCUAGUCCGAGUCCCAAAGCUGAAGAACCUGGAGUCUGAUGUUCAAGGGCAGGAAGCAUUCAGCACGGGAGAAAGAUGGCUGGGAGGCUAAGCCAGUCUCAUCUCUCCACGUUUGUCUGCGUGCUUUUUAUUCUGGCCAUGCUGGCAGCUGAUUAGAUGGUACCCAGCUGGAUUGAGGGUGGAUCUGCCUCUCCCAGUCCACUGACUCAAAUGUUAAUCUCCUUUGGCAACACCCUUACAGAUACACCCAGCAAUAACACUUUGCAUCCUUCAAUCCAGUCAGGUUGACAGUAUUAACCAUCACAAUUAGUGAUCUUGAGCAUUUUUCCAUGUUUGUUGGCUAUCAGUUUUAUAAUUUUAAUAAUGGUAAUAAAAUUUCCCUUAUUAGAAUGUCAGUAGGAUUAAUUAGAAAUACUUGGCAUUAAAUAGAAGUAAUCUGGUAAACAUUGGAUUUUAGAAAUUGGAGAGUUCAUGUUGUCAAAAAAGCAUUUCCACACUUUAAUGAUAUGAUGCAAGGAGCAGGAUUGUUCAGAAAUGACCCUGGUGUUGACUGAGACUUCGGCUCUCUCCUUCCAACAAGAAGCAGUUCCCAAACUGAACUUCCCAUAAGACUGGUAGUGCUUCCUACCUCUGCCAAAGUGAACUGUAAUUUCCCAUAGGCCCCAAAGAUUCCAGAUGCUGAACAGCUGGUGUUAUGUAAAGAGCUAGCAUCAAGUCUAUACUCCCUCUCGUGUCUUUUUCCUGAAAAUGUUCCUCCCAUGAUUGCCCUAUAAGAAAGAAUGAGAAAUGGGCAGGUCUUUUCAUUGAAUCUCUGACUCACAUCAUGUGUCCACAGAGUAUCCUGGUCCUGCCCCGUCUUUCGUUAAGAGCAGUGGAAGUAUGUGGUACUUAGGAUUGUUUUAUUUUGCUGAUACUGCCUUAUCAGUUUCCCCUUUCCCACAGUAAGACUGUUAUUUAAACUAUGCCCUAUAAUGUUGUAAAUUUGAGUCUUAGUGUAGGAUAGGUAGGCACUGAGAAGGGAUCUAUCAUGCAUGACAAAUAAAUUAGUUUGUAAUCAUGUCCUUUUUUCUCCUCUCCUAAU